rnacentral:rRNA from 1 species
UGGGGAAUAUUGCACAAUGGGCGAAAGCCUGAUGCAGCGACGCCGCGUGAGGGAUGACGGCCUUCGGGUUGUAAACCUCUUUCAGCAGGGAAGAAGCGAAAGUGACGGUACCUGCAGAAGAAGCGCCGGCUAACUACGUGCCAGCAGCCGCGGUAAUACGUAGGGCGCAAGCGUUGUCCGGAAUUAUUGGGCGUAAAGAGCUCGUAGGCGGUUAGUCGCGUCUGCUGUGAAAACUCGAGGCUCAACCUCGGGCUUGCAGUGGGUACGGGCUGACUAGAGUGCGGUAGGGGUGACUGGAAUUCCUGGUGUAGCGGUGGAAUGCGCAGAUAUCAGGAGGAACACCGAUGGCGAAGGCAGGUCACUGGGCCGCAACUGACGCUGAGGAGCGAAAGCAUGGGGAGCGAACAGGAUUAGAUACCCUGGUAGUCCAUGCCGUAAACGUUGGGCACUAGGUGUGGGGUCCAUUCCACGGAUUCCGUGCCGCAGCAAACGCAUUAAGUGCCCCGCCUGGGGAGUACGGCCGCAAGGCUAAAACUCAAAUGAAUUGAC